AAAGAAAUAAGAUAGAUUGCAAGCUGCUAACUUAGUAAUUAUUAAGUUAAAUUCUUAAUUUUCUUUU
rnacentral:tRNA from 1 species